rnacentral:tRNA from 1 species
GGAGGCGACCGGGAUCCGGUGGUCCCCGCGGUCUUCAAAACCGUUGUGCCGCUUAACGCGGCGGGUGGGUUCGACUCCCAUUCGCCUCCGCCA